rnacentral:rRNA from 1 species
UGGGGAAUAUUGGGCAAUGGGCGCAAGCCUGACCCAGCAACGCCGCGUGAAGGAAGAAGGCUUUCGGGUUGUAAACUUCUUUUAAGAGGGAAGAGCAGAAGACGGUACCUCUUGAAUAAGCUCCGGCUAACUACGUGCCAGCAGCCGCGGUAAUACGUAGGGAGCGAGCGUUGUCCGGAUUUACUGGGUGUAAAGGGCGUGUAGCCGGGCUGGCAAGUCAGAUGUGAAAUCCUGCGGCUUAACCGCAGAACUGCAUUUGAAACUGCUGGUCUUGAGUAUCGGAGAGGCAGGCGGAAUUCCUAGUGUAGCGGUGAAAUGCGUAGAUAUUAGGAGGAACACCAGUGGCGAAGGCGGCCUGCUGGACGACAACUGACGGUGAGGCGCGAAAGCGUGGGGAGCAAACAGG